GAUGAACGCUGGCGGCGUGCCUAAUACAUGCCAGUCGAGCGAACAGACGAGGAGCUUGCUCCUCUGACGUUAGCGGCGGACGGGUGAGUAACACGUGGAUAACCUACCUAUAAGACUGGGAUAACUUCGGGAAACCGGAGCUAAUACCGGAUAAUAUAUUGAACCGCAUGGUUCAAUAGUGAAAGACGGUUUUGCUGUCACUUAUAGAUGGAUCCGCGCCGCAUUAGCUAGUUGGUAAGGUAACGGCUUACCAAGGCAACGAUGCGUAGCCGACCUGAGAGGGUGAUCGGCCACACUGGAACUGAGACACGGUCCAGACUCCUACGGGAGGCAGCAGCAGGGAAUCUUCCGCAAUGGGCGAAAGCUUGACGGAGCAACGCCGCGUGAGUGAUGAAGGUCUUCGGAUCGUAAAACUCUGUUAUUAGGGAAGAACAAAUGUGUAAGUAACUAUGCACGUCUUGACGGUACCUAAUCAGAAAGCCACGGCUAACUACGUG
rnacentral:rRNA from 1 species